GUUAAUUGUCAAUUGUCGGGUUCACAUCUGAUGACAUUAGCCUACGUCGUCGGAUGUCUCUGGAGUGAAGCCAGUGAAGUCCCCGGAGAACAAUGGCUGCCUGUCAACGGUUGUCUGACUUCGGCAAAAGGUUAUCAAGGAACGUAGUGGUGUACUGGAUGGAGCUGCAAAGCCUAGCACUACCUUACACUGACAGACUUUGACUAGAUUUGGGAAAGAUUCUUGACAAGAUUGUAGUCUUUUAACUAAUAUAAUGCCCCUCAUUCAAGUUUUAGGCUACUCAAAAGACUACAAUCUUUCAAGAAUCUUUCCCAAAUCUUGUCAAAGUUUGUCAGUGUAAGGUAGGCUUAAUCAGGAUUUCUGGAGCAAGGAAGCUGAAAGAAACAUUCCAUGACAAAUUGAUUGAUUGGUGCCAGGGACAGGGGUGGCAAUUGCCUCUCAAGGCAGACACC